rnacentral:lncRNA from 1 species
ACUCAGCAGAAGUUGAAAAGCUGCUGCUGACUAGGCUGAAAGCUUCAGGUCAGUCAAUGAGCAGUGUUUGGGAAGCCUUAGCACAACUUGGCAAAAGUGUGACCAGCUGCGGCUGCCCUGAGAUGAGCCGGACCUCAGCUUGAGAGCUGAAGCAGUUGCUGAAGGAGUUAACAGUUGGAGGCUGUCAGCCAGGCACACUCCUCGAAGCUGGCCAGUGAUUCCUUCUUUGAACAAGAAUGAGUGAUGUAUCUCCAUUUCUGCCUCACGGGAAUAAGGAGAUCUUGAGCUUCUACAAAAACGUGUAACAGAAAACCAACAACCAAUUCCACAGGGAUAUUGAGGAUAUGCAGUGGUUUUUCAACACACCCUGAAGAAAUGAUAACGUGCAAAGUGCGGCAUCUUAUUUCAGUCAAACUGUCUUUAGUGAAUCCUUUGGACACAGCUUUUGAAGUCUAAAUUACAUUAGAAUUCAUUCUAUGGAAAUGUGAUUUAUGAGGCAAUUCUUUUCUGAUAUUUGCUUGGUAUUCUUUUUAUGUAAAAAACGAGAAGCUCAAUUUUAAUCUGAAGAAUUAUAAAAGUGCCUCUCCCGAACCGGCAUCUUGUCUCAUUCCCACUGAGUCAGUCAAGAUGAGCAGGCUCGUUUUCUUGAAUGGACGUGUGUUAAUCCUGUGCUUAAUGACACGAUCCAACUGUAUCUGGAUUGAAUAUAUCAUCAGUUAAAAACUAUGAAACGAUAGCCUUUUUUCCAGUUCUCUGACCCAUAUCUUGGAUUAUGGACUCCACUAAGAAUAUGCUCCUCAUCAUAAACUCCCUUCCUCUAAUUGUUAAAGUUAUUUUAACAUUCUUUAAUGUCAAAUAUGAUUUGCUGACUUAAUAUAUUCAAUCAUUUGUUUCAUGUGCCCAAUAUCAUAUAGAUACCUCCUGGGGACUACAAAUGUCCCAGAGGCUGUCCUUGCUCUCAAAGAGCUUACACAGUCUUCUGGGGUUGACAG